rnacentral:lncRNA from 1 species
CUUGGCAGGUAAAAUUGAUCUGAUUUAGUUUUUUCCUCGCAUUCUAGUAGAGGUACUUGUCUAUGCAAUGUAAUUUGUGAAAUGGACUAUCCAAGCAUUACAUGGUAUUGGUUUACCACGUGUAUCAUGUCUGAGAAAACAUAAUGUAUAGAAAAUCAAAGUACAAAUCAGUUAUGUGAACCUAUAUAUUUCAAAAAUUUACCAAUUGGAAAUUAACUAUAUGUAUAGAAAAUCAGUUAUGCCUGAACUUUUGAAAUCUCCAUAAUGAUAAACAUGAGGUAUAGAAAAUAGCUUAUCAGUUCAAACAUGAGACAAUUCAUUGAUAUUGAAAAUGCUUACUUAAUGAGAGGAUCAUUUGUCUGAUUGCCCUUUUUACAUUCAUAACGUGAGCUUGCUUCAUGAAAUUGUCA